rnacentral:rRNA from 1 species
GUAGUCAUAUGCUUGUCUCAAAGAUUAAGCCAUGCAUGUCUAAGUAUAAGCAAUUAUACCGCGAAACUGCGAAUGGCUCAUUAAAUCAGUUAUCGUUUAUUUGAUAGUACCUUACUACAUGGAUAACCGUGGUAAUUCUAGAGCUAAUACAUGCUGAAAAUCCCGACUCACGGAGGGAUGUAUUUAUUAGAUUAAAAACCAAUGCCCUUCGGGGCUCUCUGGUGAUUCAUAAUAACUUCUCGAAUCGCAUGGCCUUGCGCCGGCGAUGGUUCAUUCAAAUUUCUGCCCUAUCAACUUUCGACGGCUGGGUCUUGGCCAGCCGUGGUGACAACGGGUAACGGAGGGUUAGGGCUCGACCCCGGAGAAGGAGCCUGAGAAACGGCUACUACAUCCAAGGAAGGCAGCAGGCGCGCAAAUUACCCAAUCCCGACACGGGGAGGUAGUGACAAUAAAUACUGAUACAGGGCUCUUUCGGGUCUUGUAAUUGGAAUGAGUACAAUUUAAAUCCCUUAACGAGGAACAAUUGGAGGGCAAGUCUGGUGCCAGCAGCC